rnacentral:lncRNA from 1 species
CCAGGAUCCGAACCCUGGGCUGCCACAGCGGAGCACGCGAACUUAACCACUCGGCCACGGAGCCGGCCCCUUUUUUAGGUGGCUGUGCAUUCCACUGCACCAGGGUUGAUGUCGUCUAAGAUGUCGUGAUGGUGGCAGCAUCAACAUUACAGUCCACAGACUGGGCAGUCCCCAGACCUCUUAACGGUUCCAGAGAGUUCUCUGGCCAAAGACUGGUGCUGCAUCUGUUGGCCAAUGUUGACAAUCUCAUCAAAGGUGACACUUGCCCUGUGCUUGAUGCUUUUCUACUUCUUUCUGUCUCCUGGCAUUCCUCGAGGACUUCGAUGAUCAGGGCAGAGGCGGAAGCUACCCCCUCAGUCUGGGCCUGUCUGUUCUGAAUGGUCAGUUUCGCUGCUGUCCUCAGACCCAGGCACCAGUUGCUUUGGCGAUGUCAUCACCAAACUUUUUGGGAGACAGACGCAGAGGGCUGAUCUUGGGGGAUGUGGCAGCAGCUUUCCCACCAGUGCACCUCAAGUACACAACUUUGAAAAACCAUGGCGAGGGGCUGGCCCUGUGGCCGAGUGGUUAAGUUCACGCGCUCCGCUGCAGGCGGCCGAGUGUGUCAUUGGUUUGAAUCCUGGGCGCGGACAUGGCACUGCUCAUCAAACCACGCUGAGGCGGCAUCCCACAUGCCACAACUAGAAGGACCCACAACGAAGAAUAUACAACUAUGUACCGGGGGGCUUUGGGGAGAAAAAGGAAAAAAAAAAAUCUUAAAAAAAAACAAAAAAGAAAAAAAAAAUGAAAAACCAUGGCGAGGUGGCCAUGCCAGAAGCCUUGACGGUGCGUGUGUUGUCAGGCCUGAGGGCCUCGAACACCCUUGUCCGGGGCAGUGCUAACCUCUCUCCUUUUACACAACUCUCCUCGGUCUCCUAAUCUGGAACAAUCUCCUGCCUUUUUUAUCUCCUAAGGCAUUGACUUUGAAGAAUCAAGCUAGCUGACUUAAGAAAUGUCCCCUAUUCUGGAUUCAUCGGAUUGUUUCCUUAUGAAAGUGUGCCAUUUUGAAAAAUAUAUAGUAGAACGCAUUUAUCUGCCAAUUUGCGCUGCCGUCUCCACCCGUCCCUCCGUCGUCUUUCCAGCUCAGCUGAUGGCUCCAGCAUGUCUUCGUGUCCAGCUGGGCCUUCACCUCUCUCUUCUCCUCCCUCCUGCGCAGCCCGUCCACUCAGCCUCGAAAACAUAGCCAGACUCUGGCAGCCCUGCCUCCCUGCCGAUGCCCUGGUCCAAGCCACCGAUUUCUCUAUCGGAACCCCCAAGCUGGGCUCUCUGCUCUCACGUGGGCCUGGACACUCCACUCCUCUCAGUCUGGGUGCAGAUUUCUAGAGAGAUGAUGACUUGAGCCCGUGUCCCUCGUUCCUCACUUCCGACUCUCUCUUUGGGCAAAAACAACAACCAGGAAAGGAAGACACAUGGGGUUGAACGACAGGAGGAAGGGGAUGAGCCUUGGGACCCCCAGAAGGUGACAGUGUGCCUCACCGGCCGUCGUGUCUGAGUCUUCCUGCUUGCUGGGUUGCCAGUCCCAGUCAGCUGUUGAAAAUGAGAAGGGUUCUCCUCCCCCAGCUUAACAUUCCGCCAAGACCACCCGCCACGCUGCUUAGAGCACGCUCCCAGCUCCUGGCCCUGGGCAGCCAGCUCGGCACGGCCCUUCUGCCCACCGCUCGCUCGCCCUCAAUCACUCGGUUUUCUUUCUGGCUCCUGAGCAGGCUGAGCCUUUUUCUGCCUCAGGGCCUUUGCAGUCUCCUCUGCCUGGAAUGUUCCCCCCCCGCCCUCCCAUCCCCGAUCUUCUCACCAGAGGCCCCUUCUCCUCCUGCAGGUCUCAACUGGAACCUCCCUUCCCUGACCACCAUUUUAAACUAGUCCACUUGCCCCCAACUACUCGCUCUCUCAUUCCGUGAUCCACGUCUAUAUCCUUCGCAGCACUCCCUUAUCUGGCGCUCCAGUAUCUGGAACUCUCUGACUGGUUGUGUGUGCGCACCCCACGAGAAUACUGAUACCCACCCAGGCUGAGCACUCACACUGCACCCCGCGCGGUUCUGAGCAUGCGCUUUAGCUUCUAGCUUCACAACAGCCCUGGGAGGAAGGCACGAUGCUCUCUCAGAUUUCACUGGUGUGGAAACUGAGGCACAGAGAGGUAAUGUGGGGUCACCAGGGAGUCUGGCUCCAGCUCCGAGUUCUUGACCGUGACACUCUCAGAACCUGCAUUUAAGCACCGCAAAGAUUAGGGCUUUUUCUGUUACUUUCUCUGCUCCGAUGGCAGCUUUCGGCACUGAGGACCCAAACGGCCUGAAUCGGGCUCCAAUCCCAAGAAACAGCAUUUCAUCUUCUUGCUGGGACGGGCGGCGGAGCCAUUUCAGCAAGCCAAGGGCCUCAGGAACAGUUCACCAGGUCGCACGUUUGGGAGUGGCAGAGUCAACGGCUUCAGGGAGCUCUCGGGAAUAGGUUGCUGGUGUGGAAAAACCAAAGCCGAGGCCAGGCUGCUGCAGGUUCGUGGCUGACUCUAAGAAGCUAACCAUGUGUGGCUAUUUAAACAUAGAUUAGGGGCGGGCCUGGUGGCGCAGGGGUUAAGUGCGCACAUUCUGCUACUUUGUGGCCCGGGGUUUGCGGGUUCGGAUCCCAGGUGCGGACAUAGCACCGCUUGUCAAGCCAUGCUGUGGUAGGCAUCCCACAUAGAAAGUGGAGGAAGAUGGGCACAGAUGUUAGCUCUGGGCCAGUCUUCCUCAGCAAAAAGAAAAAGGAGGAUUGGCAGCAGAUGUUGGCUCAGGGCUAAUCUUCCUCAAAAAAAUAAAUAAAAAUAAAAAAUAAAUGUAAAUUAAUUAAAAUGAAAUAGAAUGUGUUCCUCAAUUGCACUAGCUACCUUUCCACUCUCAGUAGAAGCAUAAGGCUAGGGGCUGCCCUACUUGACAGCACAGAUCUAGAACAUUCUCAGAUCUAGAACAUUCUCAUCAUGCCGGAAAGUUCUGUUGGACAGUGCCAGUGUAGAUGGACCGUGAUUUCGCUUUCCUGGAGGUGAAUCACAAAGGUCACGGCGGGGUAUUUAUCCAAAUUAUUCAUAG